rnacentral:misc_RNA from 1 species
GAUGAAGAACGUAGCGAAAUGCGAUACUUGGUGUGAAUUGCAGAAUCCCGUGAACCAUCGAGUCUUUGAACACAAGUUGCGCCCGAAGCCAUUAGGCCGAGGGCACGCCUGCCUGGGCGUCACACGUCGUUGCCCCCCCAUCUACUCCUUCGGGAUUGCGGGGGGCGGAUGAUGGCCUCCCGUGCGCCUCGUCGCGCGGUUGGCAUAAAUGCCAAGUCCUCGGCGACACACGCCACGACAAUCGGUGGUUGCGAAACCUCGGUUGCCCGUCGUGUGCGGUCGUCGCGCAUCGAGGGCUCGAAAAAAUUGCCGGGCUCCGGCUCGGCUUUCAACGUGACCCCAGGUCAGGCGGGGUUACCCGCUGAAUUUAAGCAUAUCAAUAAGCGGAGGA